rnacentral:rRNA from 1 species
AUUGAACGCUGGCGGCAUGCUUUACACAUGCAAGUCGAACGGCAGCGCGGGCUUCGGCCUGGCGGCGAGUGGCGAACGGGUGAGUAAUGCAUCGGAACGUGCCCAGUAGUGGGGGAUAGCCCGGCGAAAGCCGGAUUAAUACCGCAUACGACCUGAGGGUGAAAGCGGGGGACCGAAAGGCCUCGCGCUAUUGGAGCGGCCGAUGUCGGAUUAGCUAGUUGGUGGGGUAAAGGCUUACCAAGGCGACGAUCCGUAGCUGGUCUGAGAGGACGACCAGCCACACGGGGAGUGAGAAAGGGCCGAGACUCCGAGGGGAGGCAGCGGUGGGGAAGUUUGGACGAAGGGGGAAUGGCGGAUCCAGCCAUGCCGGGGGCAGGAAGAAGGCCUUCGGGUGGGAGAGCGCUGUAGGUCGGAAAGAAAUCAAGUGGGGUAAUAAGCCGGGGUGAUGACGGUACCGGAAGAAUAAGAAACGGCGAACUACGUG